CUGAUUUGAAGAUCUCAGUCUUACAACUCAAGCUUCCUCUGCCUAAAGCCUCAAGCAGAUCUGAGAUAAAAAGGAUCAGGACCCAAGGGCUUUUUAUACAGUUCCAGGCCUUCUCUUGACAGCUUGGAGUCCUUAGCUGAACAAUAGGCAAUCAUCCUGACUUUAAUGUAGACCUAUUUCCUAAACAUCACUUGGUAAU